rnacentral:lncRNA from 1 species
AUGUCCCAUUGUACCUUUGCCUUCAAGGUGAUCCUGCAAUUGGAGACGGUGUGACUCGUCAUGUUUUUGCAACAAUCAUGUCAAAACUCCAGCAUGGUUUUGAACUACAACUUGGUUAGUGACCUAUACAAUACAUGUUAUUUUUUCCCCGUUUUCUUAGGAUAACUUUAAAAGAAGUUUACAGAAAUUUGUUGGCAUUAACAGUUAACUACUUACCAUUGGCCUUAGGGUUGAUAUUUUAAAAGGUUUCUGCAUUUGUCUUUUGUAAUGCAUGUGUAGCGAAUCAGCUCAUGGGGAAAUAUGAAUAAUUAAUAAUAACUAGGAACUCUUCUUUUUGAGGGUGAAAAGGAUCACUUGAUUCCCUCAACAUCACAGAGUUUUCUGGAUAGUGACUUCUUUGUGGUGGCAGGCCGUAUGAUCGGGCACUCAUUCCUGCAUGGUGGUCCAUGCUUAACUGGUUUAAGCCCAGCAAUAAUCCACAUGCUUUUUGGCGGAUCCCCUGAAACAGCCACCAUAGAUAUACUGGACUGUGUGGACACUGAUGUCCGUCAAGUAAUAGAGAUGUUGAAAGGCACAGGUGAAUUAUCAGAGGAAGAAAAGAGGGCUAUUUCAGACCUUGCAGUGUCCUGGGAUUUGCCUGGUGUGACAUCAGAGAACAGAAGAUGGCUGCUUGACAAACUGCUCAUUCAUGCAGUCCUUGAAAGAACCUCCAAGCAAGUAAAGCAGCUACGGCGGGGUUUGAAGGAAACAUUGAUCUGGCCUUUGCUUUCUGAGAGGAAAGACACUAUUCCUCUUCUCUUUCCCAGGACUUGUGAUACAGUGUACACCCCACUAAUGAUUUUAGAGAGGAUAAUUUGGCCAACACAUGAUGAAGACAGCGAGGCCUCUCUUGAAGACACAUGUAGGCUCACCGGAUUCCUUCGCACCUUCAUCGGAAAUUCUUCUUAUAAUAUCUUGCGGUUUCUAAUAAAAUUCUGGACUAGAUGGGAUGUACUGCCCAGGAGCCUAGACGUUGAGGUGGUGGAUGGAAACCUACCCAAGUCUUCCACAUGCUAUCAAACUCUCAAGCUUCCUAGUCAUUACAAGGACUAUGCUGCCUUUGAGAGAUAUAUUUUAGCUGCUAUCUGGAGCUUAGAUUAUGGAUUUGGAAUGGUCUAAGUUUGUGUUACAAAUAAUAUCAGAUGCCAUAUUUCUACUGGAGGUAGUGUUUAAUUUUUCUAAAUUUUUCAUGUCUAAAUCGGAUAUUCAGUCAGAAGAUCUCAAACCUGUUUGGUAUGUUGCAGUGUUCAGAGCUUUGUAUUCGAUGCCAAAAUAACAUUUGAUAAGAAAUUUAAGAAUUUAUUUGCUUGGAUGUACUAAAAAGAUACUGUUCUAGACAUUUUAGCUUUAUUAAAUGGUUUGGAAGUAGUUUGAGCAACUAAGAAUAUUCACUGGAUGCAAGAGUUAUUAUUAACUGGCACUAAAUGUCAAAAUGCCCCACUUUUUUCUUCCUGGAAAGCCAGCCUGUGAAUUUUGUAAGCAAUUUUGACAUGUAUUCAGAACCUUGUUGUCAAAGUUACACCAAACUAAGCUUUGGUCAAAAGGUUAUUUGAAACAUUUAUUGACUUUGGUACAAGACUGUUCAAAGCCAUCAUUACACAAAUUCAAUAA